CAGUAGCCACGGGAAUACGAAGGGGGCUAGCGUUGUUCGGAUUUACUGGGCGUAAAGGGUGCGUAGGCGGAUUGUUAAGUCAGGGGUGAAAUCCCGAGGCUCAACCUCGGAACUGCCUUUGAUACUGGCGAUCUUGAGUCCGGGAGAGGUGAGUGGAACUGCGAGUGUAGAGGUGAAAUUCGUAGAUAUUCGCAAGAACACCGGUGGCGAAGGCGGCUCACUGGCCCGGUACUGACGCUGAGGCACGAAAGCGUGGGGAGCAAACAGGAUUAGAUACCCCAGUAGUCCCUGUCUCUUAUAC
rnacentral:rRNA from 1 species